UAAUGCCAAAAGAAUUUCCCCUGAAGGCUUUCCUGGCUCGCCCCAGCAAGCUUUUAGGGCAACGAGGUGUCUACAGGAAGAGAUUUUUAAUCCUAGUGGAAACACCAGGAUCCAGCAUUUUGGUCAAUGUCUUCAAGGCAAAGUUUGGAAGGUACUACUGGCUCAUCGCUUAAAACUGGAAAAGCAACCUGCCAAAAUAAUUUUUAGGCACCAAUGUGAAUGAACUUGUCCUGCCUACUGAGUAGCAGCAAGGAGAACAGAAGCAUAUAGAGGGAAUUUUGAUUCCCACAAUCUUGACAUUUUUGGACUGGAGCAACACUGCUGCGACGUGCUGACAAGCUACUUCCAACUUCUGGUCACCUUAUGAGUUAGAGACCUCCAAAAGGCCUGUCAUUAACAUUCCUGCUCAGGUCUUGCAAACCUGGGC